rnacentral:rRNA from 1 species
AUUAAAUGGCCGCGAUAUUUUGAUCGUGCAAAGGUAGCAUAAUAAUUAGUUUUUUAAUUGAGAACUGGUAUGAACGGUUGGACGAGGAAAAGGCUGUCUCAAUUUAAUUUAAUUAGAAUUUUAUAUUUAAGUAAAAAAGCUUAAAUAAAUUUAAAAGACGAGAAGACCCUAUAGAGUUUUAUAUAAAAUAUUUUUAUAGAAUAAAAGUAUCAAAAAUUUAUAAAUAUAUUUUAUAUUUAGUUGGGGUGACUAAAAAAUUUAAAUAACUUUUUUUAAUUUUAAAUUCAUUGAUAUAUGUUUAAGUGAUCCAUAAAGUUAUGAUUAAAAGAUUAAAUUACCUUAGGGAUAACAGCGUAAUUUUUUUUAAGAGUUCUUAUCGAAAAAAAAGUUUGCGACCUC